rnacentral:rRNA from 1 species
CACGCCCUAAACGAUGCUUACUCGACGUAUGAAGCUAGACUUUGUGCGUCCAAGGGAAACCGUUAAGUAAGCCACCUGGGGAGUACGACCGCAAGGUUGAAACUCAAAGGAAUUGACGGG